CAGUAGCCGCGGUAAUACAGAGGGUGCGAGCGUUAAUCGGAUUUACUGGGCGUAAAGCGUGCGUAGGCGGCUUCUUAAGUCGGAUGUGAAAUCCCUGAGCUUAACUUAGGAAUUGCAUUCGAUACUUGGAAGCUAGAGUAUGGGAGAGGAUGGUAGAAUUCCAGGUGUAGCGGUGAAAUGCGUAGAGAUCUGGAGGAAUACCGAUGGCGAAGGCAGCCAUCUGGCCUAAUACUGACGCUGAGGUACGAAAGCAUGGGGAGCAAACAGGAUUAGAUACCCCUGUAGUCCCUGUCUCUUAUAC
rnacentral:rRNA from 1 species